UACGUAGGUGGCAAGCGUUGUCCGGAUUUAUUGGGUUUAAAGGGUGCGUAGGUGGGUCUGUAAGUCAGUGGUGAAAUCUCCAAGCUUAACUUGGAACUGCCGUUGAUACUAUAGAUCUUGAAUGUUGUGGAGGUGAGCGGAAUAUGUCAUGUAGCGGUGAAAAUGCUUUAGAUAUGAACAUAGAACACCAAUUUGCGAAAGGCAGCUCACCUAACACAAA
rnacentral:rRNA from 1 species